rnacentral:rRNA from 1 species
AGUGAACGCUGGCGGUAGGCCCAACACAUGCAAGUCGAACGGCAGCACAGGAGAGCUUGCUCUCUGGGUGGCGAGUGGCGGACGGGUGAGGAGUACAUCGGAAUCUACUCUGUCGUGGGGGAUAACGUAGGGAAACUUACGCUAAUACCGCAUACGACCUACGGGUGAAAGCAGGGGACCUUCGGGCCUUGCGCGAUUGAACGAGCCGAUGUCGGAUUAGCUAGUUGGCGGGGUAAAGGCCCACCAAGGCGACGAUCCGUAGCUGGUCUGAGAGGAUGAUCAGCCACACUGGAACUGAGACACGGUCCAGACUCCUACGGGAGGCAGCAGUGGGGAAUAUUGGACAAUGGGCGCAAGCCUGAUCCAGCCAUACCGCGUGGGUGAAGAAGGCCUUCGGGUUGUAAAGCCCUUUUGUUGGGAAAGAAAUCCAGCUGGCUAAUACCCGGUUGGGAUGACGGUACCCAGAGAAUAAGCACCGGCUAACUUCGUGCCAGCAGCCGCCGUAA